GGCGGGGGUCAGGCUGGGGCUUAGAUUUUGCACCGGUGGGCACGGCCCCGAGUUCCCCGAUUGCAAGCAGCGUUUGAACGACGCUCGCAGACGUGGAAUUUGGGUUUUGGGUGCAGAGCCGGGAGUUGGACUCGACGGUCUGUGUGACCCAACGAGGGAUGAGCCGUGACCCCGUGGCCGUGCGGCCCUCGCUGUGUGAAGCAGCGAAACGAGCCACGUGAACGCGCGCCGCCCAGCCCUCACCUACCGCCGUCCGCCCCACGCGCUGUGCUGCAGCGCACGAUACGAUAUCCGCUGUGCCCCGUGCAGCAGCACACAGACACACGGCCCGCUGCAGCCACAGCCCCGUACCUUGCAUGCAGCAAAGCGACAGCACAGCUUGCCCUGCGUCCCGCCUUCCCUGCUCCGUGUGGAGCCGGGCAGGGCCUCGUGCCGUGUGUGCUACUGGAUCUGCGUGCCCUCUCCCUGACACGGGGCAGCCCAGCACCGCUGCGGUCGCAGCAGAUCAAACUGCCCACAGAAAUCCGUACAACUGAAAGUCACCGCAAACCAACGAGAAAUCGGUAUAAAAAUACCUCAAAACCACAGUGUGACAUCACACAGCACACGGGGACCGCCGCUGCAGCAUGAAUGAAUGCCCCCACCAAGCUCGGAUGUGCGCUCAGAAAGGCAGGCCGUGUUCUGUUCCGUGUAACAACCACACACCAGUGCUAGAACCAUAUAGAAACAUUUGAGUUGGAAUGAGCUCUGAAAUACCAUCUGGUCCAAACCUGUGCAACAAGCAGAGAUGCCUACAGCUCCAUCAGGUGCUCAGAGCCCCAUCCAGCCUGACCGUGAGUGUCUCCAGGGACAGGGCAUCCACCACGUCUCUGAGCAACCCGUGCCCUUAUUGUAAAAGACUUUUUCUUCAUAACCGGUAAUAUCCAGAGGGAUGCUGUGCAGCAGGCAGGCUGGGCUGGCCACACUGCAUGCUGAGUGGGACGUGGUUGGACAGAGCCACACAAACCCCAGCAAGCAGAAGGUUUGUGCUGGUCUUGCCAGACCAGCGCGGGCUGAGUCUGGGGCUGCUGCAGUGACCCCAGGAACAGUUCCUCCUCUGCUUAUCAAAUCCCGGCAUGCCUCUGUCAGCCUACGGGAUUUCUGGCUUUCAUCCAAAUUGGUCCUGCAGAAACCAGAAAAUCAGCAGCCAUCAGAGCUCGGUGCCGUGGCAGGGCGUACCACGCGUGCCGGCCUGGGGGCACGGUGCAUCAGGACGACGAUGUCUCCCCAGGGCUCACGCUGGCUGACAGCGCUUGGCAGGCAGCCUGGCUGCAAGGGCUUCAUGCAUAAAUACAUAUACAUGGCCAUGAGAUACGCUCCUGACAUUCACAUAUCAGUUUCGCAAGAGGGGAUGAUCGGAUUUAACAGCUCACUGUCACUGCUGUUGUUCUUCCUCCCUUCCCGUUGCCCUUUCCCACCCACUGCUCCUUGGAUAUUUCCAUGAGCCUCUUUGGCAUACCAUGCUGUGCCAGAGCCAUGGCCGGUGCUGGCCAACCCCAUGCACAAGCAUAAGGCUCCCCCACCAUGCUGCCUGGCACUGGGGCAGUGCCCUCGGGGCAUCCCAGCCCAGCUGCUGCAGCUGCCAUGUCAAUACCAGGCCAGCCGGCACGCUGCAUGUAAGGCUUCCAAUUCAAAGUCAUCUAGGCUGAAUGGCCCUUGCAGUUUCUCUGUUACUGCUGGAAAUGGCAAUAGGGAUCAUUGGUACUUAGUUUUUAUAUCUUUGAGAUCUUAUCUGAAGAGCCCCAGUCUGCCAGUACCAGUAACAUUUCUCAAGCAUAGUGGCAGCAGACAUGGGCUAGCUGAGCAACCUGCCUAAGAGCACAGAGGAGAUGUUCCCAGUUUUGCUGCUAACAUGACAACACAAGCUCUGACCUUUUAUUUCUGGCUCUCAGCAGCGCCUCUCUCCCACACUGUCGCCAACAGGCGUGUUGCUGAUUGACGUCAGUGGACGUGGCUCCCAGAGGAGAAGCUCCUGCAGAGCUCCUGGUUGGCCUCUUUUCCACCAUUAAUAAACCAUGGUAGAAGGACGGAGCGACCCUUGAGCGCCUUUACACUCCAAACCUGCCACAAAGGUAUUACUGCAGGCACCGCCUUUUGUUCCUGGUCCCCAGCUGGUUUGGGCUUGGAGAUAAAGUUGAACCAGAUGAAAAGAUAAAACACUGCCAUUGAAAUCCGCCCCAUAACCUCUGGAGAUCUGAUUUGUGAUUCUUCAAACUUUUCUUCUGUUAACACAGUUGAAUACAUUUGUUUGCUCCUUCCUGCAUGUUGUUACCAGCAAAACCUCCAAUUACUAAAGGCAAAAAAGGUCAUAAUUCCUGCUGUUUGUAUUUUGCAUUUCUCCUAGCCUGGAUAAUGAAAAUCAAUAAAACCACUUUCCCUGCCAAGUCUCAGUGGUACAAUGUUGGUGAAUAAAGGGAGAGCAAACUAACAGCGUUCUUGAGAACUGCGGUAGAAUUUAAAAAAAUACAAUUAAAAAGAUCUAUUUGCAAGCUACUUAAAGGCACAUUCUUCCAAAGUUUAAUCUGAACCUCAUUUAAAGUUGAAAUAAUAAAUAAAGGAAUUGUGAUAUAGACUUGCAAAGUAAGAU
rnacentral:lncRNA from 1 species